AUGGAUGCUGAGACUGCAAGGAAGGUUAUGGAAAAGAAAAAGGGAAAUGAAAUUAAUGGUGUCGCCUCUCCUGAUGUUCAACAACCGCUUUCAGCAGGGCCCACCUUCGAUAAGAAUCCAGUGCUUGCAAGGCAGAGCAACAACUCAAAGCUUCCAGUGCAAUAUGAAGCACCAGUUCCAUGUUUCAACACCGAUCCGAAGCUUCAAAAGUCAGGUGAAACCCGACCACCCAUAUAUGAUGCAUCUCCAAUUGCAUUCACAACUCCAGUUGUAUCUUCAGUGCAACAAGAUCGAUCGGAAGCUGAGUUGCAUGAGCCAGGGGAGAAGAUUGUUGAGGCUAACAGUGGGAGCAGUGCUCAUGUGAAGAAGGCAGUUAAGAAAAGAAUGGCCCAGCCUCCUGAUGAUGUUCCAAAGAUGAAGAGGAUCAAGAUCGACCGAAAAGAUGAUGCUCUGUACCAGCAGUAUGUGAUGAGUAGGUACAAAAUACCAAGAGCAAAGGAAGAUCAAGUAAUUUGUACAACAAGAAGAAGCCGAAGAAGUUUGCAUUCUCAGUGUUUAUGGGGAGUCAAUUGGCUAUGGAUCCUGACUUGUUUGAUCACAAGAAUUGUGAAAGAGAGUUCAGAAGGGCAUAUGAAAAUAACCAUAUUUCAAAAAGUGAUAUACUCUUCAUUAGUGUCGUUCAGAAUAAGCAUUGGGCAGUGGUUGUUGUGA
rnacentral:rRNA from 1 species